UACCCACUCCCAGAUCGGGGAGGUAGUGACGAAAAAUAACAAUACGGGACUCUUAUGAGACCCCGUAAUUGGAAUGAGUACACUCUAAAGCCUUUAACGAGGAUCCAUUCGAGGGCAAGUCUGGUGCCAGCAGCCGCGGUAACCCCAGCUCGAAUAGCGUAUAUUAAAGUUGUUGCGGUUAAAAAGCUCGUAGUUGGAUCUCAGUUCCAGACGGGAGGUCCUCCAACCGGAGUCAACUUCCUGUUCUGAACAGCCAGCCGGUUUCUCUUGAUGAUCUUCACCGGUUGUCUUGGGUGACCGGCAAGUUUACUUUGAAAAAAUUAGAGUGCUCAAAGCAGGCGUGACGCCUGAAUAAUGGUGCAUGGAAUAAUGGAAUAGGACCUCGGUUCUAUUUUGUUGGUUUUCUGAACACGAGGUAAUGAUUAAGAGGGACAGACGGGGGCAUUCGUAUUGCGACGCUAGAGGUGAAAUUCUUGGACCGUCGCAAGACGAACUACUGCGAAAGCAUUUGCCAAGAAUGUUUCCAUUAAUCAAGAACGAAAGUUAGAGGUUUGAAGGCGAUCAGAUACCGCCCUAAUUCUAACCAUAAACGAUGCCAGCUAGCGAUCCGGCUGUGUUCUUCAAAUGACACGCCGGGCAGCUUCCGGGAAACCAAAGCCUUUGGGUUCCGGGGGGAGUAUGGUUGCAAAGCUGAAACUUAAAGGAAUAGACGGAAGGGCACCACCAGGAAUGGAGCCUGCGGCUUAAUUUGACUCAACACGGGAAAACUUACCCGGCCCGGACACAGGAAGGAUUGACAGAUUAAGAGCUCUUUCUUGAUUCUGUGGGUGGUGGUGCAUGGCCGCUCUUAGUUCGUGGAGCGAUUUGUCUGGUUAAUUCCGAUAACGAACGAGACUCUAGCCUAUUAAAUAGGCGACCCGAUCAUUACUGUCGGGCGAUCUUCUUAGAGGGAUAAACGGCGUUUAGCCGCACGAGACAGAGCAAUAGCAGGUCUGUGAUGCCCUUAGAUGUCCGGGGCCGCACGCGCGCUACAUUGAAGGAAUCAGCGUGUGCUCUCCCUCUGCGACAGCAGUGGGUAACCCGAUGAAACUCUUUCGUGCUGGGGAUAGAAGACUGUAAUUACUUCUUGAACGAGGAAUUCCCAGUAAGCGCGAGUCAUCAGCUCGUGUUGACUACGUCCCUGGCCUUUGUACUCACCGCCCGUCGCUAUUACUGAUAGAACGAUUUAGUGAGGUCUUCGGACUGGCGCUCGGGGCGGCCUUCGGGUCACGCACCGCGGUGCCGGAAAGAUGACCGAACUUGACCGUUUAGAAGAAAUAAA
rnacentral:rRNA from 1 species